rnacentral:lncRNA from 1 species
UCUGGAUUUCCUUCGACGCACGUCUAUAAUCUGUUAAACGUCUUCAACAGAUCCGAUUUUGUCACCUCAAAUCGGCAAGGUUAGCAAAAAUGCUCUGUAAAUUAAGCUUACUCAAAAUCUUCACUCGAUUGAAUGAUUCUAGUUCACCUAAUCAGCUGUGGCUCUUCCGUCCACCUACAAGCUAGUUUUCGGCAUAAAAUUGAUUAAAGCUUCUAGUUUUCGGCAUAAAAUUUACAAUUUGCCUCUUGAAAACCUUCUCUGCCCGUGUUACAAUUUUGCCUCUUGAAAACCUUCUCUGCUCGCACCAAAGCGAUGGUCAGCCACUAUGGUACAAGCUAGUUUUCGGCAUAAAAUUGAAUUAAAGCUUCUAGUUUUCGGCAUAAAAUUUACAAUUUGCCUCUUGAAAACCUUCUUUGCUUGCACCAAAGCGAUGGUCAGCCACUAUGGUUCACACACAGUCAUGUCGAAUUACACCACUCAAAAUAAACAAUUUACAGUCUCUUACCUGAGAUGCUUUUACUGCCACCGGGUUCUUUCUGAUCUCAUCUGAGUCACUCUGGCCCUGAAAGCAGUUUUGGCUCUUCUCUCUCAAUUUUCGAGGUAAGACCAGAGCCUGGUGCUCUGAGAUGAUCACUUCGUCAAAUCCGCUCAGGACCAGAAGAAACCACUGUGAGAUCCCACUCUUCUGACACCAAAUUGUUGUGGCAAAAACAAUUACAAACAAAUAGCAUCUCAGUGUAAGAGACAAGGAAUCAAAUUAUAUUUAAGGAAAGAAGUUUAUUUUCCUUAAAGAGGUGCAUUCACUGUUUCAGCAGCUACCCUGAAACACAACAGACCUGAAUCACACUGAAAACAGACAGCCUUAUUAUACUGUUAUCACCCCCACUCCUUACAGGGCUCCUUCUCUGUAAAUUUCCACUUAACCCCGUAAACCAAAACUAACUCUUUCAGAAAACACAAUGGUCCUCCUAACCCCCUGGGCUUUUAUUAUCUUCACACCCGUGAGGUCAAAGGUCUUUAUUUAUGGAUAACCCCUCUGAUCUUUCCUGAGUAAAUUGCCCACACUAAAGACUUCAAAGGCUCUUUGUUUUACUGUGUGAUGUCUUCGUUGCAUUUCAGGUGACAAACAUACAUACUGAGAGAGAAACACAAGUUAAAUCAAAAGGAAAAACAAAAAUAUAUGAAAACCCACAAAAUGUCUAAGAAAGUAAAUAAGUAAGAGUAAAAUAUAAAUUUUUCUACAACAGCAUCGUCAGCCAACAUCCAACCACGGGCUUCCCAAGACGUCACUUCAACGACUACUGAACUUCCAGCCAAUCAGCAACCUCGAGAAACCCCCUUUCCAAAGACAACAAAGGGAACCCCUUUACACAGGCAAUACAAGUAACAUACCUCCAGUCUCACAUCUGUUAUGGUGUAUCUAAUAUAAUUUGAACCUCAUUGAGGAUUUCAAUGCGAGGGUUAAUUAACUGAUUGAUGGCUGUUCAUGUCUCUACAAUUUCGCGUAUUGCUGUAAACUUGGGAUUUCACAUUUUCAUUCUCUUAAUCUCAAAAUUUUCUAUCUUCCUGCAACUUGUGUGAAUGUGUGAGUGUGUGUGCUUAUCACCAUAAUUUGGAUAUUAAUAUCCAUUGCAGAUUUGAUGUUAAACAGCUCGUUCAACGAAUCGCUAGCCGUGUCAGUGAUCAGCCGUGAAACAGUGAUUCUGUUCAAAUUCCCUUUAAAAUCUUAAAUGAUUCCCUUUGAGCUAAAUUGACCUUUUUCCCUUACAACUAUUAAGAUAUAUUAUAUAAAUGUGUUAUUUUUCCCAUUUGAAGCAUAAAAACAUAUAACAUGAAACAUAUAAAUGUUUUCAUUUCGGUUCUUGUUAUGUUAAAAUAUUAUGAUUUUUUUCUGAUAUAUAUAUAUAUAUAUAUAUAUAUAUAUAUAUAGUGACUGUUUAAUAACAAUAGCAUGCAGUAAGAGCCUGUGUAAAGGUCUUUCUUUUAUUUUUUUUAUGUGUAGACUAAACCAUGUUUUGAAAUUAACUCACUUUAAAUUUUCUAAUAGUUUUUAAGGAUGUUAUAAUAUUAUAUUAUAAUUUUAUUGUUGUUUUACUUCCUCCUUUCAUCUCCGUUUCCACACCAAAAUUGUACAAUUAUAUUCAGUUUGCAGUCCAUCUCUUUGUGCCACUUGGCGGUAGUUUUGCUAAUUAUUUUAACACGCGACUGACUUGCAGUUAAUGCCACAGUGGUACACGCGGUGGUAAGACCCAUUCUGGUUGUCCACCUACUGUACACAUAAGACAACAAAGCAAAACUUGUAACCAGAGCGUCUUUUUGCAUAACGAUUUAUUCAGCAAAAACUGUUGUUCAACUAUCAUUCUUUCCUUGUCAGCUAGAGGAGGAGGUCUCAGAUUUACUCCUCCCAUUCAAAUCUGCAGACAAUAAUAGAUAAAAUAGCAUUUGAAGCCUAGAUAUGAAAGAUAUGAGGACGCAGGUCAGGAGUUUUACUGACGUACCACUAAUAACAUGAAAUUACAAUCAUGGAAACAUUUGAUGUUCUGUAUUUUGGUCUCUUACAUUUGGUCGCUGUCGACCUAUGUGCUGACUUGAAAAAAAAAAAAAAUUCUUCAUGGAAAACUAGAUUUUUAGAGGUUGUUUUGUAGGAAUAUUUAUUAUGGAAUGACAAAAACAAUGAAUUAUCAUCUUCCUGUAUAUUGUCCCCCUAAGCACACAUUUAAUUUUCUUCCAGCAGGUGUAACAAAUAUCAUAUUGUGAAAGAAGUGUUGUGGUUUUACACAAGAUAUGAUCUGGUUACAUUUUUAUUUGAUUUUUUUUCAGGCAAAAACUGCAUGUAAGUUUUUGUAAAGCUUCUCAGACAUUUUGUAUCACUGGGCUGCUACUAGAGCACAAUAAUAGAGAGUGUUUGUGAUGUAGUCAUCUGAAACUGAGUGUCUGCUAUAUAUUCAUAACUGCUCCGUGAUCGAGCACCCUUCCACAGUAUAAAUUCUGGUUCUCUGUUAAGAUACUGUCUGUACCAGUAGAGAUCGACAUUAUUGCUGCCUGUAUCAUAAGUGCAGCUCAGUGUUACAAGCUCUUCUACUGUUCUGUAAAUAUUAGUUUCCAUGUCUUUCGGUUGAAUGCUGUCAGAUAAGAUACCUGCAAGAAAAUUGGAGAGAUUUAAUAACAG